rnacentral:rRNA from 1 species
AGUGAACGCUGGCGGUAGGCCUAACACAUGCAAGUCGAACGGCAGCACAGUAAGAGCUUGCUCUUACGGGUGGCGAGUGGCGGACGGGUGAGGAAUACAUCGGAAUCUACUUUUUCGUGGGGGAUAACGUAGGGAAACUUACGCUAAUACCGCAUACGACCUACGGGUGAAAGCAGGGGAUCUUCGGACCUUGCGCGAUUGAAUGAGCCGAUGUCGGAUUAGCUAGUUGGCGGGGGAAAGGCCCACCAAGGCGACGAUCCGUAGCUGGUGUGAGAGGAUGGUCGGCCACACUGGAACUGGGACACGGUCCAGACUCCUGAGGGAGGCAGCAGUGGGGAAUGUUGGACAAUGGGCGCAAGCCUGAUACAGCCAUACCGCGUGGGUGAAGAAGGCCUUCGGGUUGUAAAGCCGUUUUGUUGGGAAAGAAAAGCAGCAGGUUAAUACCCCGCUGUUCUGACGGUACCCAAAGAAUAAGCACCGGCUAACUUCGUG